UUUCAAACUUACUGUCUUUGUUCAGCAUAACCACGGGCACGGUGAUGAUGGUGAUGAGCGCAGCAGCACCCAGCAGUCCCAGGAGAACCUUCCACAGUGUCUGCAAGCAGAUCCUUCAACCUUGCGGGGACGGGCGACUGAACCGAGGCCCAGAGAGGGUAUAGGGCUUGGCAAACCCACACAGCUCACUGCAGGCUUCUGGAACUAAAACCUAGGCCUCUGCCUCUUGCUAGUGAAAGGGAGGGAGUCUAGGCACCAAGAGGUGAAGUCAGCAGCUAGGAGGAUGUGGAGCCUGAAUUCAGAGGCCACGUACUCAAUCUACUCAACAAGGCCUCUUAUCCUUCUCUCUUGGAAAGUGGUUCUGGAAAAGAAGGAAAGGUCAUGUGUGGCUUCCCCUUUCCCCAGCUCCCCAUUUUGACCUGUAGGUUUGUUCAUCAUCAUUUAUUCAUUCAUUUAUCCCAUGAUUUUUCCAUUUAUUCAUUCAUUUCAUGCAUUUUCGAGGGGCGACAAUGUGCUGCUAUUCUAGAGCUGGGAAUAGAAGUGGGACAUGACAAAUGAGGUUCUGCCUUUGGUGCUUUCAGUAUGAAAUACACAGGUAAGCAUUUGCUUUUAGGGGGCCUCUAUUCCUACUUUCUCUCUGAGGGUGAGUACUCCUACUCCUUAAAAGUCCCCCUCAGCUUGUUCAUUACAACUGAAAACAAAGCCUCAAUAUCCAUAGUUGUUGUCAGGUGCCAGCAAGUUGGUUCUGACUCAUAGAGACCCCAUGUACAACACUGCCUGGUCUUGCACCAUACUCACAAUUGUUGCUGUGUUUGAACCCAUUGUUGCAGCCACUGUGUCAAUCUGUCUCGUUGAGGGUUUUCCUUUUCGUCACUGACCUUCUACCUUACCAAGCAUGAUUUCCUUCUCCAGGGACUAGUCCCUCCUGAUAACAUGACCUAAGUACCUGAAACAAAGUCUCACCAUUCUUGCUUCUAAGGAGCAUUCUAGCUGUAUGUCUUCCGAGAUAGACUUGUUUGUUCUUCUGGCAGUCCAUGGUAUAUUCAGUAUUUUUACCAACACCAUAAUUCAAAGGCAUCAAUUCUUCUUUGGUCCUCCUUAGUCAUUGUCCAUAGUUAGAGGUAAAAGAUAAAAAAUGCAAAGUCCUAUGAAGCAUUAACACAUGAUUAUGAAUAAGUUCAACUUUUCACUCCAAACCAGACCUUGCUUCUAAACUCAGGGAUCUUUUCCUCCUUGCCCAUCAGUUGCAUACGAUACAUACAUAUACUCACCUCCCAAAUCCAGAGGCUCAAACUGAACUAUUUAGCUCCUCCAUCAGCCACUUCCCACCCUUCUCCCAUUAUCUCUACAUUAAAUGUAUCUCCAUUUGUUACUCAAAAAAAAAAAAAAAAAAAAAACAGAACUAAAAAUUUCAAACAUCUUAGUGUUUCCUUCUCUACUUUCCUGCUGCAUUCACUUGGCCACCAAGUCCUCUCAAUGCUGUUUUUACAAGUGUCCCUCAAAUCCAUCCCCUACUCCCUCAUCCAACUGCUAAGGAAAGGAGUCAAUAGUGUUACUCGAGCCUGAGUGAGCUGGAGCUGUGAAGCAGAGACUGCCCAGCUAGAACUACAAAGAAUUGUGCCAUAUUGGAGGAUCAGUGUUGGCCUCUGCUCUUGGCAGUUUGGAGACUCAACAAUGAUGGUAGCAAAAUCAGCCUUGAGGGAAGCCCAUAUAGUCGAACUCAUUUUUAUCCUCCAUGCCUGCCACCAUGGCAGUGUACAUUGAGCAAAGCCUGGGGACACUGGGGAGAGGUUGACUGAUGUUUACUGGACAGAUCAUCUUGUUCUCUGGAGGACAUUACAUAAGACACAUAUUUUCAUGCUUUGUGCCUGUCCCAAGAGAUUCUUCAAUGUACUUCCCCCGACCCUGACCUUUUUGUCAUCAGUCUUUCAAUCUUGUUUUUUCCAAGUCCCUGACCAGCUGACUAACCCAUUAAUCACUGCCUAUGAGUUUUUUUUUUUUUUUAUGAGUCAGUGUAGAUCUUAUAUCAGGUCAUCUCUCUUUCCAUGGAAAAUGGACAAGUAGAUAUAGUGGUUGACAUUCUAUCAGGAAGAUUUCCCUGUCUGCUGUAUUUCACAAUACCCCUGGGAAAGACUAUGAUACAGCAGCCAUCCACUCAUUGCUAGUACCAGCUUACUUUGCAUAAGGCUGACUUUUCCCUCCUCUGUUACUUGGAUAUAGGGAACCUCCCAUAAGGCUUUAAGUGUGUAUUUACAUAGACACAUUGAAGCAGUAGAGAAGGUAUUAUAGUCUAAUUCCUACUGAUUUUCUACUAGGGCACAGUAGCAAGAGAGAAGCUGCUUUUUCACAAAUAGUGACUAGCCAUUGGCUAUGAAGCUGUAUGUAGCUCCAGGUGAUCCUCACCUCCUUGUAUGCAUGCCAUCAUGUAGACCCCCUCCAUACUGAAUCGUGGCUGGCCUUUAUGUCCAGUAAAAUGCUGUACAAGUGACAGAGUGUGACAUCUUAGGCUAGGUCAUAAAAGACUGUGACUUCAACCUUGUUCUCUCUUGGAUCAUUUGCUCUUGGGAAAGCCAGCCACCAUGUCAUGAGAAUACUCAAGCAGCCCUUUGGAGUGAUCCACAUGGUGAGAGAUACAACAGCCAGCACCAACUUGCCAGACAUGGGAGUGAGCCAUCCUGUAAGCAGAUCCUACAGCACCAGUCAAGCCUUCAAAUGAUUGUGGCACUGGCUGACAUCCUGACAGUAACCACAUGAGAGACCCCGAGCCAAUAGUGCCCAGCUAAGCCAUUCCCAAAUUCCUGACCCAAAUAAUAAAUGUUUAUUGCUGCUAUGUUUGAGGAUAAUUUAUUAUGUAGCUAUAAAUAACUAAUACAUUGAUAAAAGAGGACAUGGCUUUGCUCCAAAACCCUAGGGAUCCCUGCAGUGAUUCUCCUAUUGGGGCUUUCCAGAGGCUUUAAACAGUAUUUCUGUCUGUCACAGAAACUUCCAAUAACUAUCGUAUCUGAUAGGUCAUAAGAUCCAAAUGGCAGAGCAGCUUGCAAUGUAGCUUAAACCCACUGUGGAGCCUUUUCUUGCUCUAACCCAGUGCCGUCCAGUCGAUUCCGACACAUAGCGACCCUAUAGGACAGAGUAGAACUGCCCCAUAGAGUUUCUAAGCUCCAUUAAAAACAGACAGCCUUAUAGGUUACUGUGUAAAUAGACUAUAGCAGAACUCUCAAUUGUAAUAAAUGGUGUCUCCAAAAUCCAGAGUUGUUUCUCUUCGUCGUGGGCAUACAAGGUGCAGUGACUUAACUUUCACAUUAGAGGGUGUUAUAAAUUGAAUUGUGUUGCCCUAAAAUGAUGGUUAAGUCCUAAUUUCUGUACCUGUGAAUAAGACCCUGUUUGGAAAUAAGGUCUUAUAACAUGUUAUCAGUUAGGUUAACAUAAGAUCACACUGGAGUAGGGUGGGUCCUGAUCUCAUAUGACUGUUGUCUUUAUGAAAGAGGAGACGGAUACACAGAUACAGGGUGACAGAGAAAGGAUGCCAUGUCGUGCUGCUGCUGCAAGCCUGGAUCUACCAGAAGCUAGGAGAAGCAUGGAAUAGAUUUUUCCCUCAAAGCCUCAGAAGGAAUCUCCAUGAUUGUCACCCUGAUUUUGGAUUUCCAGCCUCCAGUACCAUGAGACAAUAAAUUUCUGUUCAUAUAAGCCACCCUGUUUGUGGCAUUUUGUUACAGUAGCCCUAGGAAAACAAUACAGAGAGGAUAUCCUGACAUAUUCCAGGCCAUCAAUUUCCUUGAAAUUUAGCAAAAUUUUAAUGUGAUUUAUCCUCUACUUUGUGGCCACAUUUGUCUCACUAACGCAUUUAAGGAACUUCACCGUUUAUGGGGUCAAUUAACAUAAUGUCAAUAAUAUGAUGUUCUGUGGAAUAUGGAAUAUCAAGAUAACCUAGGUCCUGUGUUCUGUGGGAUUAUCAAGAUCACCUAGGUCCCAUUAGACUAUAUAUUAGAUGUACAAGAUAGUUGACAUAUUCCUGAAAUAAGAUGGUAAGAAUACAUUGCUGCCCCUUCUGGGUAAAGGAAAACUGUUUUGGGUGGUCCUUCUUAUUAAUUAGUCUGAAGAAAAAAAAUGUUUGCUAGAUUUAUAGUGCCAGGUGCUACAGAAUGUAUUGUUUGAUCCAGUAAAGCUACCAGACCUGAAAUCGCAGCUAACUGGUAUCACUACUUGAUCCAUAGUUAUCUUCCAUACUCCAUCUUGCAUAGGCUAAGUAGGCAAGUUAGUUGAGUAUGGGACACUCCUACAUCUUUCAGGUUUUUAGAUAAUGACACCAAUCUCUACACUUACCAGGCAAAUGCAGUAUUACUGUUGAUUUACUAUUCUGGUGUGGAGAAGCCAUUCCAGGGGCUUACACUUGGCCUUUCCUACCAUAAUUUAUCCUCUUCGUGGGUCAGGGAAUAAAUGUUGAGAUUCUUCCAAUUGCUAAACAUAUCUAUCUGAAUAUGUUGGAACUUAAAAUAUAAUCAUAGAACGGGCCAUUGUGAGAUGGACUUGACCCCAGGGUUUAUUCAAAAUCAGACUCCAGACCCCCGAUUCUGAUCACUUGUGGUAGGCUUAAUCUCUGGAUCCUGUGAAUGUUACUUUACACGGCACAAGGGACUUUUCAGGUGUGAUUAAAUGAAGGAUCUUUGGAUGGGGAGAUUAUUCUGGGUUACCUGGAAGGGGCCAGAUAAUCACAAGUGUUCUUAUAAGUGAAAGAGUGAAGCAGGAGGGUCAGAAAAGACGUGAUGAUUAAAGCAGAGGGAAAAGGGAGAGAUAUUUAUUUGAAGAUGCUAUGCUGCUGGCUUUGAAGAUGGAGGAAGGGAUCAUGAGCCAAGACAUGUAGGCGGUUUCUAGGAACUAGAAAAAGCAAGGAAAUGGAUUCUUCCCCUAGAGCCUCCUAAAGGAACGCAGCCCUGCUGACACUGUGAUUUUAGCCCUGUAGGACCCAUUUUGGACUUCUGACCUCCAGAACUAUAAGCUAACAAAUUUGUAUUAUUUAAACCACUGUGUUUUUGGUAAACUGUUACAGCAGCAACAGGAAACGAAUACGCCACUGGACCACAAUAGUGUUCUAAUCCCAUAAAAAUAGCAACAUAGUAUUGUUGUUAGAAGCAAGGAUGGCAAAACUUUGUCUCAUGUACUUUAGACAUAUUAUCAAGAGAGACCAAUCCCUGGAGAAGGACAUUAUGCUUGGCAGAGGGUCAGUGAAAUAGAGGAAGACCCUCAGCAAGAUGGAUCUACACAGUGUGGCUGCAACAAUGGGAUCAAACAUAGCAAGGAUUGUGAGGAAGUUGCAGGACAGGGCAGUGUUUCAUUCUGUUGUGCAUAGAGUUGCUAUGAGUCAGAAUUGACUUGAUGGCAAUGGGUAGGUGGGUGGGAGGUCUGGUAUAUCCCUUUCCACAGUACAUUUUCAAACUUAGGUAAUUGGCAAUGUCGUUUUGGGGAAGGCUUAGAAGAAAACUUAAAGUAUGUACUUGGCAGCAUUGCAGGGUCCUUUCUCAAAGGAACUUGGCCUUUUUUUUUAAAAAAAACCCAAGGUAUUCUGGGUCUCUAAACUGGUUUGAUUCUUGGAACUUGGUGAGAAGCCAUGAAUUCCUAUUAUAGCAACUUACAUCAGGUUUCUGCUCACCAGACCUAGAAUUUUUCUGAUUACACAAAUCAAGCCAUUUUUUAGAAGGCUGCCCAUUUAUGUCGUUCUUAGGAACCUCAUGAUAAUUCACCACCACCAUUGCAGAUCAAACAUUCUAAUUACCUUGUCCCUGCAACUUUUUAUGGUAAUAGGCCCUCAUUGGGUCACGUGGAAUGAAAUAUAGCCCUGGAGGGAUACAGCACACCAGACUGCAACAGGAAGGUGAUAAAGAUCAGGAAGAAUAAAUAUCUUGGUCUCUGCUCCCUUCUUUUAGUAUCUUGCCUGUACUUCCCAUUAGCCAAACACAACUGAAGUCAGAGGGCAAGGAGUCUGGAUAAUAAAAGAUGCUAUCUGCAAGGGUCAACCUCCUAAGGUAUAGAGCAAGGAUGAGAAGGGUGGAGAAUGGAUGGAAGGGCUCGAAUGAAAAAUAACCAACUAACCAGCAUAACUCCUGCAGGUUGUUGUGGUUAGUUUCUGCUGAGUCCUUUCUAACUCUUGGUGACCCCGUGUGUGCAGGGUAGAGCUUUUUCAUAGGGUUUUCAAUUCUGUUACCUUUUGGAAGCAGAUCACCAGGCCUGUCUUCUGAGGAACCUCUGGGUGGGUUCGAAUUGCCAUCCUUUCAGUUAAUGGUCAGGCUCUUACCCAUUUGCGCCACCCAGGGACAAUUAACUCCAUUGUAAACAAAAAAAAGCAAAUCCUUUGCUGUCAAAUCGAUUCCGACCCAUAACUCCAUUAUAGUAGUUGUUAUUUGCUAAACACUGUCUCCUCAUGAAGACUGAAAGUGUUUCAUUUAUUCCUCUAUCCUUCUUUCUCUUUUAUCCUCCUCUCUCCAGUGCCUAGCAAAGCACCUGGAACAUAUCAGUAGUCAAUAACUAUGGAUUGAAUAAAUGAAAAAAUAAAAUGAGAGAUGAAGAAAAGUUAAUCACAUCAAAUCCUUUCUCUGUGUUCUUGAGGGGCUGGAACAGGAAGCCUGGAAGAAAUGGGAAAACACAUGUGUAGAGAGGGGAGAGAGAGAGGGAGGAUCCUGUGUAGGGGGCAGGGAGUGGUGAGGGAGCUACAACAGAGUUCAGUCCUCAUCUUCAGCUCUGGAGGAGAAGUAAAUAGAGUGCAAAGGUAUUUCUUUGUUUUUCUGCUCACUGGACACUUGCCCUCAACCUAAUCAGGGAAUUCUGCCCCACCUAUGCUAGGAAUGACUUCUUGCUGCUCUAGCACCAAACCCUCCAUUUCACCUCCUUUGGACUCCAGAUUAAAGCUCAGGUAUUCCAGGUUAUCUUCACCAUUGAUCCCAUCUAUUUCUGUUCAGUUUCCUGAUUUCCAUACCUACCAUACUUGGGAAGGCUGUUCUGCUUGUUCUACGGGUCAAACCUAUUUACAGCAAAAUCCAGUUUCACCAAGAGAUAUGUGGAUGAUGAUAAAUAGCUGGAUAAUCCCAUGGAUUUUGCUAUAUGGAAAGGAGAAAUUUCAGGUUGAAGAAAUAACAUACACACAGAGGUGUGGGUAAGGAAGCUGGAGAAUCUUUAGGGAAUAUCUGUUAGUUUAGUUUCACCAGAAUAUAGAGUAAUCUAGAAGGUAUUGGAAAAAGAAGUUUGGACAUGGGUAUAUUAUUCAGACUAUUAAAUUCAAUAUUCAGUGUUAGUAGGGAGCCACUGAAAGUUUUUCCAGGGAAAAGAACCCAGUUAGACUUAAACUUCAGAUAUAAGGGUCAGGCGAUAUUGUACGCUGGCUAGAUGAGAAGGGGAAGAAGCGGAGGUGAGGGGAGAUUCAAUAAAGUCUGGAUAUUGCAGAAUUACUUGCACAGGUGACUCUGGGGAAUUUGUUAUAAAAGAUUUAAACCAUGUUUAUUUAUAGUUGUCAACAUUUAACUCUAUAAAAACUGGUCCUUUUGGCUCUAUUCAGAGGUUCCGCAAUUCAGUAACCCCAAAUAAUGGAUUCUUUUAUACUCAGUCCUCAGUAAAGUUCUUUCCCUACCUGUUUAGACUAGAACACCAAUAAAAAGGUUAAAGAGGACUUUGUUAUUCCUUUGAUGGUGUCCUUUGGAUAGUCUGUGGGGUUUUUUUUAUUUGAAAAGUUUGCCUCUCUUAGCCCCAACCUCAGAAAUAAUUACAUGACUUCAUGAGAUUAAGAUCCUUAGAGCCUGAUUCUCACAACGUGGCUGCAGCUAUGAUGACAUCCUCUCCUUUGUGUUUUCCACGCUGUAAACAUGUAUCAGAUGUGAUGGCAGUGGUGUACAUGUAUGAGGCAGGUAUUAGGGUUUGGGAUGGAGCAGUAGGGACCGGGUUAUAAUUUAGGAAAAGAAAUAGCAAGAACCAGUAGAACAGGCUGGGGGCAGGCCUCAAACUAAACUAAAAAGAGAGAUCUAAUUUGCCAAGGGAGGAACCACCUACUCUCUUUGAGCAGUGGAUCACACAAUCGAAAAUCCUUAUCUAAGAGGGCCUCCUGAUUUUGUGCAUGCCAUUCCAUAGAUAACAAUGAAAAGAGAAAAGAGUUCAUGUGUGGUAUUGGACUUGAGUGAAAAAUGAGUCUGUAAUUAAUUUCUUCUUUUUUUUUAAUCCAGUUAUCCAAAGUUCAUAACGUCAUUUUAGUGAAUUAAAUAUUCAGCUUAAAUUUAUUCACUUAAGACUCCGCUUUUUCUAAGUAAGAUGGUGGAGUUAAACUGACUACUCACAUCACAUCCAUUUUGGACAGACAUCUGGUUUCCGCUGCUUGAGUUUCUCUUCGUAAAGAAGAUGUAUGAUGCAAAGGAAUGACUACAAAGGAAACUGGAUCUACUAAGUAAUACCACAUGGUAGACUUUGCCAUGGAUAUGUGCUAAAACCUUUAUUCUGGUGAUAUUCUUCAUCCUUGGUGAGAAGAAAGGACUACAGUUGUCCUGGGAGGAUGUUUGAAGAUCCAGAAACUACAGGCAAAUGUAAUUCACUAGGGAUGGUUGGAUGCUGUUUGACUCCCUAGCUGAAAAGCAUAGCUUUAGGUAGAAGGAUUUAGGUAGGCUCUACAACACUGUUUUUCAACCUUUUUUUUUUUUUCUUUAUCACCCCACCAAGAACAAUUUUGCCUUUUUUUCC